rnacentral:misc_RNA from 1 species
AACGCACAUUGCGCCCGCCAGUACUCUGGCGGGCAUGCCUGUUCGAGCGUCAUUUCAACCCUCAAGCCCCCGGGCUUGGUGUUGGGGAUCGGCAAUCGCCCUCCGGGGCGGCGCCGUCCCUCAAAUGCAGUGGCGGUCUCGCUGUAGCUUCCUAUGCGUAGUAGCACACCUCGCACUGGAAAGCAGCGCGGCCACGCCGUUAAACCCCCCACUUUCAAAGGUUGACCUCGAAUCAGGUAGGAUUACCCGCUGAACUUAA